UCCGUAGGUGAACCUGCGGAAGGAUCAUUAAAGAAAUUUAAUAAUUUUGAAAAUGGAUUUUUUUUUUUUUGUUUUGGCAAGAGCAUGAGAGCUUUUACUGGGCAAGAAGACAAGAGAUGGAGAGUCCAGCCGGGCCUGCGCUUAAGUGCGCGGUCUUGCUAGGCUUGUAAGUUUCUUUCUUGCUAUUCCAAACGGUGAGAGAUUUCUGUGCUUUUGUUAUAGGACAAUUAAAACCGUUUCAAUACAACACACUGUGGAGUUUUCAUAUCUUUGCAACUUUUUCUUUGGGCAUUCGAGCAAUCGGGGCCCAGAGGUUAACAAACACAAACAAUUUUAUCUAUUCAUUAAAUUUUUGUCAAAAACAAGAAUUUUCGUAACUGGAAAUUUUAAAAUAUUAAAAACUUUCAACAACGGAUCUCUUGGUUCUCGCAUCGAUGAAGAACGCAGCGAAAUGCGAUACGUAAUGUGAAUUGCAGAAUUCCGUGAAUCAUCGAAUCUUUGAACGCACAUUGCGCCCCUUGGUAUUCCAGGGGGCAUGCCUGUUUGAGCGUCAUUUCCUUCUCAAACAUUCUGUUUGGUAGUGAGUGAUACUCUUUGGAGUUAACUUGAAAUUGCUGGCCUUUUCAUUGGAUGUUUUUUUUUUCCAAAGAGAGGUUUCUCUGCGUGCUUGAGGUAUAAUGCAAGUACGGUCGUUUUAGGUUUUACCAACUGCGGCUAAUCUUUUUUAUACUGAGCGUAUUGGAACGUUAUCGAUAAGAAGAGAGCGUCUAGGCGAACAAUGUUCUUAAAGUUUGACCUCAAAUCAGGUAGGAGUACCCGCUGAACUUAAGCAUAUCAAUAAGCGGAGGA
rnacentral:rRNA from 1 species